rnacentral:rRNA from 1 species
AGAGUUUGAUCCUGGCUCAGGACGAACGCUGGCGGCGUGCCUAACACAUGCAAGUCGAACGGAGUUGAAAGGAGCUUGCUUUUUUCAACUCAGUGGCGGACGGGUGAGUAACGCGUGAGUAACCUGCCUUUCAGAGGGGGAUAACGUUCUGAAAAGAACGCUAAUACCGCAUAAGAUUGUAGUUUCGCAUGGGACAGCAAUCAAAGGAGCAAUCCGCUGAAAGAUGGACUCGCGUCCGAUUAGAUAGUUGGCGGGGUAACGGCCCACCAAGUCGACGAUCGGUAGCCGGACUGAGAGGUUGAUCGGCCACAUUGGGACUGAGACACGGCCCAGACUCCUACGGGAGGCAGCAGUGAGGGAUAUUGGGCAAUGGGGGAAACCCUGACCCAGCAACGCCGCGUGAGGGAUGACGGUUUUCGGAUUGUAAACCUCUGUCCUCUGUGAAGAUAGUGACGGUAGCAGAGGAGGAAGCUCCGGCUAACUACGUGCCAGCAGCCGCGGUAAUACGUAGGGAGCAAGCGUUGUCCGGAUUUACUGGGUGUAAAGGGUGCGUAGGCGGAUUGGCAAGUCAGAAGUGAAAUCCAUGGGCUUAACCCAUGAACUGCUUUUGAAACUGUUAGUCUUGAGUGAAGUAGAGGUAGGCGGAAUUCCCGGUGUAGCGGUGAAAUGCGUAGAGAUCGGGAGGAACACCAGUGGCGAAGGCGGCCUACUGGGCUUUAACUGACGCUGAGGCACGAAAGCAUGGGUAGCAAACAGGAUUAGAUACCCUGGUAGUCCAUGCCGUAAACGAUGAUUACUAGGUGUUGGAGGAUUGACCCCUUCAGUGCCGCAGUUAACACAAUAAGUAAUCCACCUGGGGAGUACGACCGCAAGGUUG